rnacentral:lncRNA from 1 species
AAUCAUUUUACCUUCUCACACAAAAUUUAUAAUGUCUGUAUGUAUAAAAUGUAUUGCCAGGACUUUGACAUUCAAACAACUUUGUCUGUUUCGGAAGAAUUGGCAUCUUUGAGAGAGCGAUCACCUUCGGGAUGGUGGAAGGCUGAAACUGGCACCAUCUUCUGGUGAGGCGCAUCACAGCUCUCCACAAUCUAAAGCGGAUGGUGUCCAGCCCUGUCCUGAGUCAUACAGAGUGACACAUUGAAUUGAUUCUAUCCCCGCCUCUGUGGAAGGAAUCACUGUCUCACCAAGGCCUACGACUGAACCUGAUGCUUCUGAGGUCUGCGGGCUUGUCUUGAAGUGACACAUGUUGCCAAGACUGGUCUCAACUUGCUACACAGCCAAAGGUGACGAAGAUCUUCUGAAGCUCAUAUUUCUACUUCCUGCAUGCUGGGAUCACAGACAUGUGCCACCACUCCUGUUUCAUGUGGUGUUCGGGACUGAUCCAGGUACUUUUUCCUGCUACACAAAUGCUCUACCAACUGACCUAUGCACUCAGUCUCUCAAUGCAAUGUUUUAUUUACAAAACCCAAAAGGCAUAGUUGUUAGGAGACUCAGCUCUGCAGCCAUAGGUAGCCAUAGGUACAAAAGAGUUGCCAGG